rnacentral:rRNA from 1 species
GUGUCAGCAGCCGCGGUAAUACAGAGGGUGCGAGCGUUAAUCGGAUUUACUGGGCGUAAAGCGCGCGUAGGUGGCUAAUUAAGUCAAAUGUGAAAUCCCCGAGCUUAACUUGGGAAUUGCAUUCGAUACUGGUUGGCUAGAGUAUGGGAGAGGAUGGUAGAAUUCCAGGUGUAGCGGUGAAAUGCGUAGAGAUCUGGAGGAAUACCGAUGGCGAAGGCAGCCAUCUGGCCUAAUACUGACACUGAGGUGCGAAAGCAUGGGUAGCGAACAGGAUUA